rnacentral:tRNA from 1 species
GCUGAAGUAGCUCAGCUGGGAGAGCGUUAGACUGAAGAUCUAAAGGUCCCUGGUUCAACCCCGGGAUUCAGCA